AGCAGCCGCGGUAAAUUCCAGCUCCAAUAGCGUAUAUUAAAGUUGUUGCAGUUAAAAAGCUCGUAGUUGAAUUUCGGAGUUUGUCGGUUGGUCGGGCUUCACUGUCCGCACUGACCUGAUGGACUCCUACCUUCUGAAUAACCAGCAUGCCAUUAAUUUAGUGCGUUGGGGAAGCAGAGCUAUUACCUUGAAAAAAUUAGAGUGCUUAAAGCAGGCUUGUGCUUGAAUAGAUUAGCAUGGAAUAAUAAAAUAGGACGGCAUGGUUCUAUUUUGUUGGUUUCUAGGAUCACCGUAAUGAUUAAUAGGGAUAGUUGGGGGCAUUAGUAUUCAAUUGUCAGAGGUGAAAUUCUUGGAUUUAUUGAAGACUAACUUCUGCGAAAGCAUUUGCCAAGGAUGUUUU
rnacentral:rRNA from 1 species